UGGGGAAUAUUGCACAAUGGGCGAAAGCCUGAUGCAGCAACGCCGCGUGAGCGAUGAAGGCCUUCGGGUCGUAAAGCUCUGUCCUCAAGGAAGAUAAUGACGGUACUUGAGGAGUAAGCCCCGGCUAACUACGUGCCAGCAGCCGCGGUAAUACGUAGGGGGCUAGCGUUAUCCGGAAUUACUGGGCGUAAAGGGUACGUAGGUGGUUUCUUAAGUCAGAGGUGAAAGUCUACGGCUCAACCGUAGUAAGCCUUUGAAACUGGGGAACUUGAGUACAGGAGAGGAGAGUGGAAUUCCUAGUGUAGCGGUGAAAUGCGUAGAUAUUAGGAGGAACACCAGUUGCGAAGGCGGCUCUCUGGACUGUAACUGACGCUGAGGCACGAAAGCGUGGGGAGCAAACAGG
rnacentral:rRNA from 1 species